GAUGAAGAACGUAGCGAAAUGCGAUACUUGGUGUGAAUUGCAGAAUCCCGUGAACCAUCGAGUCUUUGAACGCAAGUUGCGCCUCAAGCCAUUAGGUUGAGGGCACGUCUGCCUGGGCGUCACAUAUCGUUGCCUGAUGCCAGUUUCCUCGUGAUGGGUGACUGUGCAGGGCAAUGAUGGCUUCCCGUGAGCAUUGUUGCCUCAUGGUUGGUUGAAAAUUGAGUCCUUGGUAGGGAGCGCCGUGAUAGAUGGUGGUUGAGUGACGAACGAGACCCAAUCAUGUGAGACCCCUACCGAAUUUGGCCUUCAUGACCCACAUGCGUCUUUGGAACGCUCAUGACGAGACCUCAGGUCAGGCGGGGCUACCCGCUGAGUUUAAGCAUAUCAAUAAGCGGAGGA
rnacentral:misc_RNA from 1 species